GAUGAACGCUGGCGGCGUGCUUAACACAUGCAAGUCGAACGGAAAGGCCCAAGCUUGCUUGGGUACUCGAGUGGCGAACGGGUGAGUAACACGUGGGUGAUCUGCCCUGCACUUCGGGAUAAGCCUGGGAAACUGGGGCUAAUACCGGAUAGGACCACUUCCUGGAUGGUGUGGUGGGAAGAUUUUUCGGUGUGGGAUGAGGUCGCGGCCUAUCAGCGUGUUGGUGGGGUAAUGGCCUACCAAGGCGUCGGCGGGUAGCCGGCCUGGGAGGGGGUACGGCCACCUUUGGGCUUAGAUUCGGCCCCGACUCCUACGGGGGGCAGCCGUGGGGAAUUUUUCCCCAUUGGCGCGAGCCCGAUGCAGCGACGCCGCGUGGCGGAUUACCGCCUUCGGGUUUGAAACUCCUUUCGCUAGGGGCGGAGCGUUUUGUGACGGUACCUGGUGAAGAAGCACCGGCUAACUACGUG
rnacentral:rRNA from 1 species